AAAGUUAGAGAAGUCUGACUU
rnacentral:miRNA from 1 species